rnacentral:rRNA from 1 species
GAUGAACGCUGGCGGCGUGCCUAAUACAUGCAAGUCGAGCGAACAGAUAAGGAGCUUGCUCCUUUGACGUUAGCGGCGGACGGGUGAGUAACACGUGGGUAACCUACCUAUAAGACUGGAAUAACUCCGGGAAACCGGGGCUAAUGCCGGAUAACAUUUAGAACCGCAUGGUUCUAAAGUGAAAGAUGGUUUUGCUAUCACUUAUAGAUGGACCCGCGCCGUAUUAGCUAGUUGGUAAGGUAACGGCUUACCAAGGCAACGAUACGUAGCCGACCUGAGAGGGGGAUCGGCCACACUGGAACUGAGACACGGUCCAGACUCCUACGGGAGGCAGCAGUAGGGAAUCUUCCGCAAUGGGCGAAAGCCUGACGGAGCAACGCCGCGUGAGUGAUGAAGGUCUUCGGAUCGUAAAACGCUGUUAUUAGGGAAGAACAAAUGUGUAAGUAACUGUGCACGUCUGGACGGUACCUAAUCAGAAAACCACGGUUAACUACGU